rnacentral:rRNA from 1 species
UGGGGAAUAUUGGACAAUGGGGGCAACCCUGAUCCAGCAAUGCCGCGUGGGUGAAGAAGGCCUGCGGGUUGUAAAGCCCUUUCAGUUGGGAAGAAAAACUGAGCGCUAAUAUCGCUCGGUCCUGACGUUACCAACAGAAGAAGCACCGGCUAACUCCGUGCCAGCAGCCGCAGUAAUACGGAGGGUGCGAGCGUUAAUCGGAAUUACUGGGCGUAAAGGGCGCGUAGGCGGUCGCGCAAGUCGGGUGUGAAGCCCCGGGCUCAACCUGGGAAUUGCAUUCGAUACUGCGUAACUAGAGUCUGGUAGAGGGAAGCGGAAUUCCGCAUGUAGCGGUGAAAUGCGUAGAUAUGCGGAGGAACACCAGUGGCGAAGGCGGCUUCCUGGACCAAGACUGACGCUGAGGCGCGAAAGCGUGGGGAGCAAACA